UACGUAGGGUGCAAGCGUUGUCCGGAAUUAUUGGGCGUAAAGAGCUCGUAGGCGGUUUGUCGCGUCGGCUGUGAAAGCCCGGAGCUCAACUCCGGGUCUGCAGUCGAUACGGGCAGACUUGAGUGUUGCAGGGGAGACUGGAGUUCCUGGUGUAGCGGUGAAAUGCGCAGAUAUCAGGAGGAACACCGGUGGCGAAGGCGGGUCUCUGGGCAACAACUGACGCUGAGGAGCGAAAGCAUGGGGAGCGAACAGG
rnacentral:rRNA from 1 species